GCCUUCGUGGUGUAACGGUUAGCACACUCGGCCCGUAUUCGAGAGAUCCAGGUUAGAGUCUUGGCCAGGGCA
rnacentral:tRNA from 1 species